rnacentral:rRNA from 1 species
UACAGAGGUCUCAAGCGUUGUUCGGAUUCAUUGGGCGUAAAGGGUGUGUAGGUGGCGUCGUAAGUCGGGUGUGAAAUUUCGGAGCUCAACUCCGAAACUGCAUUCGAUACUGCGGUGCUUGAGGACUGGAGAGGAGACUGGAAUUUACGGUGUAGCAGUGAAAUGCGUAGAGAUCGUAAGGAAGACCAGUGGCGAAGGCGGGUCUCUGGACAGUUCCUGACACUGAGGCACGAAGGCCAGGGGAGCAAACGGG